AAAAAAGGCUUAAAUGAUCUUCAUUGAGCGCUGAAUUCUCUCUCUGGCCUGCUUCAGAUCAUUAAGAACUUCAAUUACCCGUUCACCGAUCACCAGCAUCAUCUCGCCGGUUUCUGCUUCUUCCGGAGAGUUCACGGCCACAAGUGCGAGUGAAUCGUCCACGGAAUUGAAUUCAUCUCCACUAUUUUCGAUCUUUUCUUUCGUUGGAGCAAAUUUCUGAAUCUGAGAAACUCGAGCUGGUAGAGCCUCGAGCAUUUGGAUUCUCUUCGUCUGAAUGAGAAAUUUCACCGAUGGUCUGCGAAUUGAUUGGGAGAGACGUUGCUGCGGUUAGGGUUUUCGGUUCAUCUUCAUCGCAAAUUUCCGACGAAAUUGACGGUUCUGAGUUCAACAUCGUGAAAGAAAGGGUAAGAGAAAAACGACAUGUAGUCUUAUUUCCAGUCAAGAAGUGGGCCCAAAAUACGUAAGGUUCGCCGACAUUCCGAAUUAUACCGUGUGCGUUUACUAUAUUCCAAGAAAGACGGUGUCGUUUGUUACUCCCAUCGCCUCGGCAAAACGAGGUGUCGGCACAUGUGAUCCUGUCUCUCCCCUGCUAGAUGAAUGCUUCCUCGGUACGUUAUCUUCUUCCCUUCCAAACGAUAUGUCGUUCGUAAGGAAUUAAGACCUUAUUACUAAAUUAAUUGGUCCUAAUUAAUGUUUUAAAAUUAAAUAAAAUGGUUGAAAAAUCAUAUUCAUUUCGAGGAUAAAGCUUGCUAAUUUUCUAGUCAUAUUAUAUAUAUAUAUAUAUUCAGCUAGAGAACAAAAUUUUAAAUUACUUGCACGAACUUUAAGAGGUAAGUAUACUAAAUAAGACUAUGGAUGCAUUAUGGAAUAUAGAAAUUUCUUCUUAGGUUUCAUUCUAUAUGUGGAUAUGGUUAUUGAUAAUUAUGAAAAAUACUUGGAAUUUUACUUUUA